rnacentral:lncRNA from 1 species
GGCGCUGGAAAUUCCGGUUUCAAGAUAUCUCAUUAUCUGCAGGUGCCAUAAUGGGAAGCUGAAUGCAGAGCUGUCAAUCAUAGAGGAACAUUUGGAAACGCAGCAGCCACAUAAAAGCGUUCCCUGACUUACCCCCUCUGCUCGACGAAGGAGGGAAGGAAGCUCAAAGAAAUCGUCUUGCAAGCAGUUCAGCGGCAUCAAGAGGAACACAGCGGACUGAGUCAUCUGAUGUAUAGGGUGCCCACUCACAGUCCCCAUAGAGCGCCUUCCUGUCUCCAAAACUGAGCCUCAGGAAGCCAUCCUUGCCUGCAGAGGUGCUGCGGGUUCUCCUGCCUCUUGACCUUGGGGUUUCACCAGGAAGGCCAUGCCGUGAAGACAUAGUCUAUUCACAUCUAGAUGCUAUAUGCAAUUCUGGGCUACUUGCAAACUAAUCCACAGAGCCUGACAGGCUUUUCUUCCCCUUCCUAAUGAAUUUGAAUCUUUCCGAAAGACCCGUGAUUGACAGAGCCAGACUGAAGCUUUAAGUUUCUCUGAAGACUGAGGGUUUGCAGCAGCCUGUCUGGGCCAGGUCUGGGCGAAGAAAAGAACUCCAGACUGAGGGUGAUGUGCAGGUCGCUGGCCUGGAGGAGCGGUGGGCGAGCAGCUGGCGGAGGGCUGGGCUCUGACCCUUCCCUGUAGAGCCCUCCUUUAAUACUGAACCUUCAAGGGUGAUGCCAGACCAGGAGACUGUGGCCGAUUUCUUGUUUCUCUCUGGCCACCAGGAGCCAAUCCAGUGGACCAUCUCAUCCUGGCCCCAAACAAGCACAGAGGUCCCUUUCUCCUCACAACUUGUCCACUGUGUGGCAAAUGUGAAGGAUGGAUUCCCCAGUUUCCACCCCAGAGGACUGGACUUUGGAGAGAGAGUCAGAAAACAUUUACCUUGUGCCCAGCUGCGUGAGUACCUAUUGGUAUGGAGACUAUCAGAGAAGACGCUUUGCCAAACAGUGCAAACAGUGGAGCAUCUCUGGAAUGCCAGCAAACCGUGA